rnacentral:tRNA from 1 species
UUAAUUGAAACCAAAUAUAGAGGUAUAUCACUGUUAAUGAUAUCAUUGAGUUUAAACUCCGAUUAAA